rnacentral:piRNA from 1 species
UGUGCAUGAGAAACUCAGAAUCCAGUG